GACGCAGGGCGCGAGCGUUGUCCGGAUUUAUUGGGCGUAAAGAGCUCGUAGGCGGCUCAUUGCGUCAACCGUGAAAUCCUGCUGCUCAACGGCAGGUCUGCGGUUGAUACGGGUGGGCUGGAGUUCGGUAGGGGAGACUGGAAUUCCUGGUGUAGCGGUGAAAUGCGCAGAUAUCAGGAGGAACACCGGUGGCGAAGGCGGUUCUCUGGGCCAGUACUGACGCUGAGGCGCGAAAGCUAGGGGAGCGAACGGG
rnacentral:rRNA from 1 species